GACGAACGCUGGCGGCGUGCUUAACACAUGCAAGUCGAACGGUGAUGCUCCAGCUUGCUGGAGUGGAUCAGUGGCGAACGGGUGAGUAACACGUGAGCAACCUGCCCCAGACUCUGGAAUAAGCGCUGGAAACGGCGUCUAAUACUGGAUACGAAACUGGCCCGCAUGGGCAUGGUUUGGAAAGUUUUUCGGUUUGGGCUGGGCUCGCGGCCUAUCAGCUUGUUGGUGAGGUAAUGGCUCACCAAGGCGACGACGGGUAGCCGGCCUGAGAGGGCGACCGGCCACACUGGGACUGAGACACGGCCCAGACGCCUACGGGAGGCAGCAGUGGGGAAUAUUGCACAAUGGGCGAGAGCCUGAUGCAGCGACGCCGCGUGGGGGAUGACGGCCUUCGGGUUGUAAACCUCUUUCAGCAGGGAAGAAGCGAAAGUGACGGUACCUGCAGAAGAAGCACCGGCUAACUACGUG
rnacentral:rRNA from 1 species